UCUGCUCAUGAAAACCAUCCCACCUGACCCUGCAGCUCUGCACAGGAGCCCAGCCCUGGACUCCCAGCUCAGCCCACUCAGUGACCAGGACUGAACACAGCUGCUCACCAUGGAGAGUGUGCUCAGCUGGGUUUUCCUGGUGGCUAUUUUCAAAGGUGUCCAGUGUGAGGUGCAGCUGGUGGAGGCCUGGUGCAGCCUGGGGGUUCCCUGCGACUCUCCUGUGCAGCCUCUGGAUUCACCUUCAGUGACUACUACAUGAACUGGGUCCGCCAGGUUCCAGGGAAGGGGCUGGAGUGGAUCUCACGCAUUAGUCAUACUAGU
ensembl:lincRNA